rnacentral:rRNA from 1 species
UACGUAGGGGGCAAGCGUUGUCCGGAAUCAUUGGGCGUAAAGAGCGUGUAGGCGGCCCGAUAAGUCCGCUGUGAAAGUCCAGGGCUCAACCCUGGAAAGCCGGUGGAUACUGUCGGGCUCGAGUCCGGAAGAGGCGAGUGGAAUUCCUGGUGUAGCGGUGAAAUGCGCAGAUAUCAGGAGGAACACCAAUGGCGAAGGCAGCUCGCUGGGACGGUACUGACGCUGAGACGCGAAAGCGUGGGGAGCAAACAGG